ensembl:lncRNA
AUUUGCUUUCCAUUUUUCAGAGGCUGCUUUAAAGACAGGCUAAAUUAUUAACCAGAGGCACUAACAUUUGGAAAACAAAAAGCUCAAGGACGUACAUACAGUAGCUCUAAACCUGCAGUGGUGUGGGGGAUGUUUCUUGACUGAUAUUGGAAGUGUAGAAUUAGCAUAAUCAGCAGUCAUUACUCCAGAGUCUCUGGACUCUUUGAUACUCUUGCUGUGAGCAGAAUGUGCUUCAACAUGCUGUGUUCCACUCAUUGAGAAAAUGAAAGAUUUGAAGAGACUGUGGAUUAAUGAUCUCCAGUUGGCCAGUUUCACUUGUGUAGGUAACAGCAGAUGGCAGAAGAGGGGCAGUCUGACAAAAUGGUGUCUGACAUGGAAGUGCGGAUGAAGCAAAGGUGUGUCACUGACUUCCUUCAUGUGGAAAAAAUGCCACCCACUGACAUUCAUCAGUGCUUGCUGAAUGCUUAUGGAGACCAAAAAGUGGAGGGGAACACAGCUACGUUUGAGCUGCUUUAAGGCAAUGGUCCAUGUGCAUGCCCUACCAUGUGGAACCCUGUUGAGAAUCAGAGUUUAUUCAGUGAUAUAAUAUGGAUGCUUUUCCAGUUCAGAGGUGAAGUUUUUUUCUCUGCAAAAGUAACUCUAAUCCCAGUUUUGUCCACUUCUGUGUCUGCAUUUCUUUAACUGGUCACUGAAUCACAAAAUCACAGAAUUGCAGAAAUUGAAAGAGACCUCAAGAGAUCAUCGAGUCCAGCCUGCCCCUGCUAAAGCAGGUACCCUACAAGAGGUCACACAGGUUGCUGAUGAUGUUGAACAAGACCAGACCCAGCACUGACACCUGGGAAGCACCGGUAAUUAAAGGCCUCAAGCCAGAUUCUGUGCUGCUGAUGACAACCCUGUGAGCUCUGACAGUGAAACAGUUCUCAAUCCAGCUAACUGUCCACUCAUCUGUGCCACAUUCUCUACAUUUCAUAACCGGGAUGUUGUGGGAGACGGUGUCAAAUGCCCUACUGAAGUCACGGUACACAACAUCCACUGCUCUCCCUCCAUGUACCCAGACAGUGGUGACAUCAUAGAAGGAUAUCAGGUUGGUCAAGCAUGAUUUCUCCUUGGUGAAUACAUAUUGACAACUCUUGAUAACUUUCUUCUCUUCCAAUUGCUUGGAGAUGGCGUAAAGAGCAAGUUGUCCAUCAUCUUUCUAGGGAUGGAGGUGAGGCUGACUGGCCUGUAGUAUCCCAGAUCCUCCUUCUUGCCCUUUUUGAAGACUGGAGUGACAUUCUUUAUCUUCCAGUCUUCAGACACCUCUCCCAUUUGCCAAGACCUUUCAAAGAUUAGAUAGAUAGCAGUUUAGCAGUCAUCUAUUUUAGUUCUCUCAGCACAUUUGGGUACAUCCCAUCAGGUCCCAUGGAUUUAUGUACAUUGAUUUUGGCUAGAUUCACUCUGACCAGAUCCACCUUGAUCACUGGAAAGUCCUCCUUUGCCCAGACUCUCUUACCUCCAGGGUCUGGAAUUCCAGAGGGCUAGUCUCAGCAUAAAAGACUGAAACAAAGAGGGCAUUCAGGAUCUCUGCCUUCUCAGCAUCCCCUGUUACCAAGGCACCCAUCUCAUUUAGUAGGGAACCCACAUUUUCCCUAGUCUUCCUUUUACUGUUGACAUAGUUAAAAAAAAUAUUUCUUCUUAUCCUUUUCCUCCUUUGAAGGGUUUAAUUCCAAGAGGGCCUUAGCCUUCCUACAAUUCCUGAAAACAUUCCUUACUCUUGCCACCUUUUCCCAGUUUCUUACUCUUACUGGCCCAGGAAUGGACCAGUCUUGAGCUUGGAAGAAAUUGUGUUUAAGCACCAACUAGCUCUCAUGGUUCCCCUUUCCUUCUAACACUCUAGCCCAUGGAAUAACUCCAAGUAGGUCUUUGAAGAAGUUGAAUUUGUCUCUCGUGAAGUCCAGGGUAGCAAUUCUACUUAUUGCUUUGCUUCUCCCACACAAGAUCUUGAACUCCACCAUCUUGUGACUGCUGCAUCCCAAGCUUCUCCCACAUAUCACAUCCCUGACCAGCCCUUCCUUGUUAGUAGAAACAAGUUCAAGUAGCACACCCCUCCUAGUCGGCUCCUCCACUACUUGUGUCAGAAAGCUGUCAUCAAAGCAUUGCAGGAACUGCCUGGACCUUGUGUGACUGUCCAUGCUUCUUAACCAACAAAUAUCAGAAUGGUUGAAAUCCCUGAUAAGAACCAGUGCUGGGGAUUGCAAGGCUUCUUCCAGCUGUUUGUAGAAGGCCUCAUCCACUUCCUUCUCCUGAUCAGGUGACCUGUAGUACACAUCCACAACAAUGUCACCUAUGUUAGCCCUCCCCUUAAUUCUUACCCACAAAUUCUACACUUGUUCCACCCAAGUGGAGCUCAAUACAUUCUAAUUGCUUUCUUGCAUGAACAGCAACUCCACCACUUCAUCUUGCCAGCUGGUCUUUCCUUAAGAGGACAUAGCCAUCCAUGACAGCAUUCCAGUCAUGUGAGCUGUCCCACCAUGUCUCCAUGGCUGCAAUGAAAUCAUGGCCCUGUGAUCACACACAGAUAUAUAGUUCUUCCUGUUUAUUUCCCAUGCUGUGUACAUUGGCAUAUGGGCACUUUAGGGAAGCAGAGGGUGCAGAUAUCUCUAGAGGAGUGCUGAGGGUUUAAGCUGAGCUAUUGGCAAAGGAAACUUGUUAACCUAAGUUAAAUAAUUAAAAAAGGAAGUAUCUGAGAGGUAGGCCUGAGAAGUACUGAUAAUUGCUGUCAUACCUUACGAGAAUAUUAAAAAUCAUUUGUCUGUUCCUCUUCCCACUUUAUACUACAUCAUUCACUCAAAUUUGCAUGAUGUUUUCAAUUGCUUCAUGUUGAAUAUCAGAUUAAGAAGUAUCACAUAUCCAGUAUAAUUUCUUAUCCCUUCCUGGGUGCAUCUUCAUGUUUACUGUCAUUCACACUGGAAAUUCCCAGUAAAUACAAAAAAUGUGAGAAUACCAUGAAUGUAAGUCACUGAAAGUGGUAUCUCCUGUUUACUUCCAUGGAAAACAAAACAGAUACAAAGAGCACAAUAACGCUAUUUGAUAGAGCAAAUUCUAAGCCACAAACUACUAUUUUUCAACAUGAUUACCUUUACUUUUGCCAGCAGCGAACAAGAGUUUCCAUGCCACGUUCAUAAAAUCUGCUCCAUUGGAGGCGACCUACUGCUGCUAUCACCAUUGCUGAAACACAUCACCCACCACCUCACUGCUCACAUACACUGUUUGGUCUCCAUAAGCAUUCAGCAAGUAUUGAUGAAUGUCAGUAGGUACAAUUAUUUUUGAAUGGAGGAAAUCAAUGACACACCUUUGCUUCAUAACACCCUACAGUAUUUUAUCAGACUGCCCCUCUAACGCCAUCCAGCACACAGCAACAAAAUAUAGAGUAUUGGUGGGAAGGUUCAGCCUCUACUGCUAUAUAACCAACAUUCCAUGUCUGCCAUUGCAGGCCAAUGUAAUAAAAUAUGAUGCAUCACUUUUGGAGCAGCCAUCAUGCCAUGAGUAUUUUGGCUUUCAUAUAUUGUAACUGAUAUAAUAUGUUCAACUUUUCUUAAUAUAAUAGUUUAGAGUCUUAUUUUUAUUUACUAUUUUCUUUCUUGUUCCUAAGAAAGUCUUUGAAUGUUGCAACUCUCAUUAUCCAGUCUUGCUGGGAAAACCAUAAAAAAGUCAAAGCACCUAUAUAUGUAGAAAAUAUAAUAUGAAGCAAAUCAAGAAUGAAAGAUAAAGAAUUAACUCAGAAAACAAUGAGAUUUGUAUUUUAAAAAAUACAUAACUUUGACUUUUUAUUAUUAUUCACAUAUAUUCUGCCUACAAGUUCUAAACUCUUAGAAAUACUGCAGUUGAUAAUCACACAGAGCAUUCCAAAAGCACCAAUAAAUUCAGUGAAAUACUCAUGAUGGUGACCUUAUGUUAUUAGUGUUACCUCAAAAAAGUCUCAAUAUAUGUAGCUGACAGCUGUACAUGUGCAUUUUGCUUCGGUAUAUCAGAUUUUUGUGCAGAUGAAGAUUGUGUUAUGACUGUCUCUUUCAUAGGUGAUAACAGUUCUGUUUCUCUUUGAGAGGUGCAAAACACAAUUGCUCCUAUGUGAUCCACAGACCUUAUGGAUGUGGAGGGUGAAAUAUUACUUAGGACAACUGUGUAGAUGCAACAAACUAUCAGCAUUGCAUAAACCAUUCUCCAUAUUUUGUCAUUUGACAGUUUCUGAUUUAUGCUGUUUCUCCAUCCAUCUGAAGUAGGUGUUUUUGUGCUUGUGUCAUGACUCUGUGUGAGUCCAGUUUCCUUCAGACAUACUUCUGGUUCCUGGCAUUACUCUUUCACCACACAGACUGUACGGAGUGCAUUUCAAAAGCUACCCUACCAAAUAAAAUAAUGGCUAUUUCUAGAAAUGUUGGUAGACCAAACUCUUUCUGUAGGCAGUCUUAGGCCAGUUGUAAAUAUCUAUAUUUAAAAAUACAAGCAUAACUCUAGAUUCCAGAGCAGCAGAAGUAUCUCAUUGAAUCAACUCCGUCUGUUUUUAGGCAUACUUUCAUGAUUCACAAAAUGAAGUCUUAUCUAUUACUUUCUACAGACCUUGUUCUUCUUCUUGUUUUCCUUUAAAGAAGAAAAGAUGCAAAAGCGGUGGUACCUACAUGUAGAAUUCUGAAAAUAAUGGAAAUUAAGAUAAUAAAUCUCUCCUAACAAGAACAUAUAUGAUGUUUCUGCUUCUUAGAGAUAAGUCAGGUGUUUGGAAAGCUUCUUGCAAUCACUGAGUGUAGUGCUUUAGAAGUCUUGUCUGUUGAGUGAGAAAAAAGAACAAAUAGAAGGCAGGUCUUUCUUAUAUAAGGGUUUCUAACACUCAGUAUUCAUCAAAGCCUCUAUCCUGUCCAACCCUUUUACAAUGAUCUCAUUUUCAUGAGAAGAAACAAGUGUUUGUUAAAGUAUUACGUCUCCUGCUAUAUAUCAAGGGUUUGUGACAAAGCCCGAACAAGUGACCAAGACACAUCUUUUAUACAUUUUCAGUCCUAAAGAAGAGACUGGACUGGGGCUUUCUUAGAGUCAUAUUCCUUGUAUCCACAAACAAGUAACGAUGUUGCAUAAAUUAGCGACUGCAUCUACCCUUUCUAAGAGAGGAAAGGAGAUGUUUUCUGUGUAAUAAAUCGGCUGCAAGACUAACUAAAUGCAUUUUGUAGUACUUUUUAUGGAGCAAGUGCAAUAUUUUUUACAGAUAAAGCAUAGCCAAGAGCAAAGGUUGAUGAUGGCUAUAUAAUUAAAGGCAUUCAAACUGUGCAAGUUGUCUGCCAACAAACGCUUUGCAAUGAAAAAGGCUCCAUAUUCAGCAACUGCUUUAAAAAUACUGUUCAAGCAUGGAUUUCCUUAAACUACCACUUGUCUGGCAAUGGCUUCCUCACCUGUGUAAUAAGAUUAAGAGAUCUACUUGAAAGCCAGAAAAGCUUUGCAAGUCAAGUGGAUAUUUGCAUAUUUUACAUUGCCAAAUACCUAAAGGAGAGAAACGUUUUCUGAAAGAUGAGGAAAACGUACAGAACACUAGAACUAGCACAAGGUUUUUAGACUCAAAGCAGCCCAAGUUCCUGAUUUUUGCCAGCUCUGCCAGCAUUGUUAAGUUAGUAAAAAAUAAAAAUAAAAAUCUGUUUGCAAUGACUGCAUGAACUUUACAAACUAGUAAAUAGUUAAUAUUUAAUCUUAAAUGUACUUCGGGUUUUAAAUCAAGAGAAACUAUUUCAGUGUCUCAGGUGUCAGAUGGGGUAGCUAAUGAAGUGCUUUCUUGAGUGAUUUCUGUCACAAGCCUGCAUUCUGCAAAAUAGACCUUGGAAGAUUACAGAUACAUCAGAGGUAUCUGUAGAUACCUUUCAAGAAUAAAAAUAACAAAAUAACCUUACUGUAGUGUUUUGUGACAUUUAUUUUCUUUGAAUAGCAAAAUACACUCUAUAUCAGUUUCAAAAAUAAAAUAAAUUUUAAAAAGUGUCAAUUUUCUUAAUGUGAUUUGCUUUAUUUUGCUAGCAUGAGAUUACUGAAAUCAGUUGGAAUACCUGAAUACAUUAAAAAUAGGGGAAAUGCAAUGUGUUAUGGGCAAAAAGUUCUAUAUUGAAUAGAAAAUUAUGGUAAGUCACAAAUAUUUCUGCUUAGUCUUAUACUAAGUACAGGCAAACAGUAAGCUUUCUCUUUUAAAUCCUGCCAGUUCAGGCCAGUAGUGACCCACAGUAUACUUUUCCUGUCCAGAAUUUCUCUUGAGAAAAGCUUGCCAAUCACACAAAAUUACUUGGUGCUUUGGGGAUCUGGACAUAUACAGAUAAGGGAAUCAACUACCAAACUUAUUUGAUGUGUAUCAUAAAUCAGAAGUGAACGUUAGUCUCCCAAGGGAACAAAAAAAAAUGGCCUACUGUAUUAAAAUACUUUGAUACCUUUGAUGUUCAAUGUUUAGAGCAUGAACUAUUUUCUAAACAUCUUUGAACUGAAGCUGAAAGAUACACUACUGAAAUCUACUCUUGCCUUCCUGCCUGCUUUUUUUUUUUUUUUUUUUUUUUUUUUUUUUUUUUUUUAACCAGCAAGGAGCAUCAAUUCCAUCUUAGACACAGAUAUGUGAUCAUUUGGCAAUGCUCUAAAAUUCUAAUUUAAAAUUGUUAUUUUCUUCUGUGCACAGGAAGACAUUUUUUGGUGGUUUUCUUUCAGGGGAGUGAAUGGUUUUUAGUUUUUCACCAAUUGAUAUCAUGAGAGAGAAUGAAAGACUGUGUAUACAUAAGCCACUGAAUAAUCAGUGAACCCAUUUAAGAGAGAUACCUACUGAGGUCAAUGAAAUUGGCAAUCUAAUGAACAAUCUAAUAGUAUUGUUACAAGUUUUAUGGUUUCUGUUUGUAAUUAACUUUAUGUGACAUUUAUUAUAAAAAGAUCGAAAAUUAUUAGUAGCAAUUACAUUUAAUGCAGCCAUGCAAUUGCACUUAUAUACUUAUUCAACUUUUAUUUUCAUUGACUCCCUGCUUCCUAAGUUAAUGCCUCUCUAUGUAUCAAACAACUUCAAUGUUUAUGAACUUUGGCCAAUAUGAGUAGAAAGUCUUUGUUUUCAUAAUGAUUUAUUUGAAUUCAGUUCUGUGGAUUUUAUCUGGAUACAUUUCUUGCUAUAUGAGAGAAAUCUCUUGAACAAAAGGAAGAAAAAGUAAUCCUUUAUAUUGUACUCAGUUCAUAGUUUCUUUGAAGUGAUGCUGAUAAAGGCAGUUUUGUGUUUUUCAGAAUGGAUUACUAACACAGUAAUAAUCAAAGAGCUGAUUUGUGUCAGUUGUACCACAUAGGGAAGACCCUCUAACUAGAUAUUUUAGAUGUUGAUAGCAUUUAUGAUUGAGUUUUGUAUAUACUUUGUUACAGAUGUGCAUAACUGUCAAAACCCAGGUUUUGUGAAAUGCUAAAAUGAACACACAGACACUGAAAAUAUGAAAAAGUUACAAUUAUGUUAUUCACCACUGAGUUUACAAAAACAGCACAGGUGUCAUUGCCACAGCAAGUCCAUAGAGUUAGUCUGUAUGUUCCACUGCCUCGUCCUGUAGCCCUGAAGUCACAGGUGCCACUGUCAGGCUGAAACCUCCUUUCAGAUGCUCUCUGUCUGGAAGCUUCAAAUCUACUGGAGAAUUCAAAUAGAUGCGAAAAGUCUUUGCAUUUUCUCUACUCAUAUUCACACUGUUCCUUGCCAGUGCUGUCAUAGCCAUGGACUCUACAGGAACAUAAGCAAAAGUCAUUCCAUAUCAGGGAAAAGCAUGUGAUACAGUCACAACAGCCCCUUGUAACACAAUAAGCAUAGGGCAAAGUGGCUGGAAAGCUCCAUACUGGAGAAGGAUUCGGGGGGUUAGUUGACAGCCAGCUACACAUGAGCCAGCAGUAAGCCCAGAUGUCCAAGAAGGCAUCCUGGGUUAUAUCAGAAAUAUUGUCUGCCCAGGGAAGUGGUGGAUUCACCAUCCCUGGAUGUUUUCAAGGAAAGGGUAGAUAUGACACUUAGGGACAUGGUUUGUGGGCAUGGUGGUGAUGAAUCAGUGGUUGAAUUAGAUAAUGUUAGUGGUCUUUUUCCACCUUAAUGAUUCUCUGAUCCUAUGAUCAUUAAAUAGGGAAGAUAUCUGAAUAAUAGUUCCAAGGAGGCAUAUAGCAGUUUCAGGGAGAAAACUUAUUGACAGACUGGAACAUUUUGAAAUUUCCAAAUUAAAAUUUCUGAACAAUUAUUUUAUCUGUGCAAAAAUCAUAUUUGGAUAUUUUACAACAAUCUGUGGGGAGGGCUACUGUUACUUUUGAUAAUAAUUCAUUGGUGCUUUUAUUGUUUCUUGGCUGACUUUCAACAUGUAGCUCCUACAAUGCAAGGGAAGGUAGACACGGUUUCUGUUACUACACUGAUGGAAUAUUGAAACCUGAAUUGAAGUGCAUUAGCUGAAGUCAGACAAGGUUGUGGUAGCGAUCACUAGGGAAAUUAGAAAACCUUGAAAAACUUUGAAGACAUUUUUUGCUAGGGCACCUAUGUAUUAAAAAACUGUGUCUCUCAGUUAUGAUAAAAUUGUAUUACAUAACCUGAGUGAUCUCAGGAGUUAGUAAGUGACUGAUUUUCUGUUCCCUUGGUAAGCAAUAAUUCAUGCAAACAGAUUGACUGAAGUUUUACCGUGCUAGUGUAAAGAGAAAACAGUGAAAUAUUGUUUGAGAUGUUUUUACAAGUGAAAAUGACAGCAUAUGAAGAAAUAUGUUAUAAAACAGGACAGUAUUAAAAAAGUAAAGAAAGCUAAGCUCAGUCUUUUGAAGAAAAAUAUUAAAGAAGUUGGUAGGAAAAAAAAAGAACUCGUUUCAUGUACAUAGAGAGAAAACAGGCAUUAAUAACCUGCAUGUGCACAGAUCAGCAAAUUUAUGAAGAUAUGUAUGAACAGAGAACACGACUUCAAAGCCAUUUGUAAUUACAGAAUGGUUUAUAUUUAAUCCUAAAUGUAUGGAAGGGGAUAAUGAGCUGGGAAAAAAUGAAGGCAUAUCGAACUAUUCUAGCAAAAACAAGGGAAUUUUUGCCAUUUUGUGUACUUUCUAUAGGCUAGAGGGACAAAUUUGUGUAUAGUAGAGUUCCUAUGAAAUUCAGGGUUCUGAUUUGACACAUGAAGUGAAAACAUCUUGGAUGCUUUAAUUUUACUGUGAAAAAACAGCAUAUGAUAUCAUGCACAUUAUAUAUGCAUAUAAAUGAUAUUAUUUUAUGGGUUUUAUGAUCUUUGUUACUGGUAUUCCACAUCAUAAUAUCAUGUAAAGCAUUGGGAGUUAAAAGUUGAGAACAAUUAAUUCUGUUAUUUUUUAUGUAGCAGCUAAUCACAAGGCAAAAUGCUUCCUUUGAUAGGAUCUGAGAAACUGAAAAGCUUGCCUCAGAGAAGUAUUCAUCUCAGCUAAUUUUAAACACUUAUAACAUGGAAGUCUGCAUCUGAGCUAAUGGCCUUAGGCACAUAUGACCUUUCCCUGGUCCACCAUAGAUGAGAUGAGAAGAAAUCUGAAUCUAAAUCCAAAAGAGCAUUUGAAUGUGGAAGUAAAAGCCUGCAUUGUGAAGCCUGAGAGAGAAAUUUGCCCAUGCUUAAUGGUAUUAAUAAAGAUCUGGGGAAGUAGAAUUGAAAAAUUCAGAAGCUUUUUUUUUUUUUUUUUUCUUUUUAAUAUCUUGAUGUCUAAGAAUAAAUAAUAAUCCUUUUUCUUUGUAUUCACUUAAAACCGUAAGUUUGCCAAGACAAUUAUUUUCUUGUUUUCCAUAGUUAAUAUUCUGCAAAGUCUUCAAUAAGGAGGUUUCACAGAUGAUUUAAGAACACUUUGAAAGUAUAAUGUACUUCUGUGAAAUGUGGAGGCUGCGAUGAAAUAUUUAAACAUCAAUGGAUUGAGAUGGAAAAUACCUAAUGGCUUUCCUUGCGGAAUCAUGUAUUGAAUAUUUUGGAUUCAUUUUAAAUCUUAGGGGAUCCACCUAACAGUUUAAUUGCUGAGAAAAAAAAUGCUGCAAUUGACAUCUAAACCAAAUUGCUUUAACCAAGUCCUGAAUUAAAAAUAUUUGUGUUUUUAUUACAGAAUAUGAAUUUCAAUAUAUCCGUAAUGGCAGAAUCUCCCAAAAAGCUAUUAACUGAGAUAACUGGCUGAGGAAAUCAACCCACUAAGCAAUUUUGUGAAAAUUAAAAUUCAUUUUCCACACAUUGUAGUGUACUGGUUCAGUAUAGCACCAGUUCAGUAUAGCACCUUUUUCUGUGAUAUUUCCCAUUUGUUAAAAUAGGAGUAGUAGUCAUCCUGUUUCUACCAGUUUAAGAGCCUUAAUACCAGCAAAGCAAGAGUGCUGAGGAUUUGACAGACACGCUUAGGUCAUUAUUUCAUAGUGCAAAUAUUUUUUAAGUAUGUACAAGGUAAAACCAAAUGAAACAAAUCCAUUAAGCAUCAUUUUUUAUAGCUUUUCUUCCUAUUCCUUGGAAACCUCUGGGGACAGUGAUUCCACCACCUCCCUAGGCAGCCUGUUCCAAUACUUCAUCACUCCAAGAACUUUUUCCUGAUAUCCAACCUGUUCAGCUAUCCCCCAGUUCAACUCAAAGCCGUUACCUCUUAUACUACUACUGUUACAUGUGAGAAGAGACCAGCCUCCAUCUUGCUACUUCUUCCUCUCAGACUAUUACAGAGCUGUAAGAUCUUUCCUGAGCCUCCCCCUCUCCAGACUAAACAAUCCCAGUUCCAUCAGCUGCUCCCCACAGGACUUUUGUUCCAGACCUUCCAGCAGCUUCUUUGCCCUUCUUAGGAUAUGGUCCAGGGCCUCAGUGUCUUUCUUGUAGUGAGGGGUUCAAAACUGAACGCAGUAUUUGAGGUAUGGCCUCACCAGUGCUGUGUACACGGCAAUGAUCGAUCUCAUGCCUAGUUCUGCUGACUACACUCUUUCUGAUACAAGCCAGAAUGCUAGUGUUCUUGGCUACCUGAGCACACUGUUGAGUCAUGUUCAGCUGAGCACUGGCCAAGAAUCCCAGGUCAUUUUCCACCAUGCAGGUUUCCAGCCACUCUACCCCAAGCCUGUAAUGUUGCACGUGGUUGUUGUGACCAAAGUGCAGGAUUCAGUACUUGGUCUUGUUGAAGCUCAUGCAAUUGGCCUCAGUCCAUCAAUCUAGACUGUCCAGAUACCAACGUAGAACUUUUCUACUCUCAGACAUGGUUUCAUCUGAAGAUUUACUGAUGGCCCACUUAAUCACCUUGUCCAGAUCAUCAAUGAAGAUAUUAAACAGGACCAGCACUAAUACUGACCCCUGGAGAACACCAUUUGUGACUGGUCACCAGCUAGAUUUAACUCCAUUCACCACCACACUCUGGGUCCAGCCCUCCAGCCGGUUCUCUACCCAGUGAAGACUGUACCUGUUCAAGCCAUGGACUGCCAUCUUUUCCAGGAGAAUGCUGUGGGACACAAUGUCAAAGGCUUUAUUCAUGUCUAGGUGGACUACAUCCAUAGCUUUUCCCUCAUCUACUAGGGAAUUUUUGUAGUCAUGAUCCAAAUUUUCAGAAGGUAUCUCUGUAUCCUGAUGAAGAGAUCUUUUAAAUGGCUCAUUGAAGGAGACUCAGAUUGCCUAGAAACUGAUGCGCAUUAUGGUUCCACACCCUUACUCAUAAUUUUUAUAAUUAAUAAAAAUUCAGAGAGAAACUCCUUCCAUUUUAAAUUUGCCCAUAGCACUCCUGUGCUAGAGUUUAGAAUUCUCGACUCUGAAGAUAAACGGAAAAUUAUUUUUUCUAAUUGUAUCCAGGAGCUUUUAUGUAGCAUAUUUUAAAAUGUCACAAAAUAAUGAAGUUUAGAUAAGCCAUUAAGGAAAAAACAUGUUUUUCAACUGAGUAAAGAUGCCAGCAAUUCAAACAAUAGUGCUGCAUUUGUCAGAUAAUUAGCCAAUGAUUGUCUUUUGAACUCUGAAAAUAAAUUUAGAAGGAGCAGAUAUGCUGUGCUGUAAAAUGUGAGAGCUUUCAGAGUUUUUUUUUCUUCUUCUUUUUAAGACUUUUGCUUAAAGAUUUUUUUUUGAAGUGUUUUCUAACUAAGUACUUGAAUUAUGUACACAUGAAUAGCCUUUAAGGAAAUCAUACAGGUCUCUUCAACUAUAUGCUAUACAGAUUUUAAUUUUACAGAUUUUUAUUAUUUUAGUUCCACUAAAUGCUUUUAGUUAAGGUUGACCAAAAUUUUCCCCUUUGAGACCAGUUUUUAAAUUCCUUGUAAUUGCCAUAUUUAAACUGUUCAUGCUGUUGUGCCCCAUGCCAUAUGUCUACUCUGGGAUGAAUCAGUUUGGAAAAUUCCAUAAAAAUGGCUCAGUAGUUUUGCAGUAUUGACAAAAAUGCUUUUUUUUUCCCCCCAUAACUAAUAUAUUAUGCUGAAGCAGUUAACUUGAAUACUGUUGUUAUUUCCUAAUGAACCUCUGUUUAUGUUGUAUUGAUGUCCUGUAGAAAUGAGUCCAAAUGAAACUUCUGAUAAAAUCUUAGUAACUUGUGGGAAUACAAGAAAAACUGUUCAGAGGAGCAGCUGUGGAGCAAGAUAAACAGCAGUAAGCAAAAGAGCAAAACAAACAAAAAUUGAUCUCUCCUCCCAGCUAUUCAUUUUACUAGGGAUCAAACUCUAUGGUCAAGUAAAAGUUUUUGAUGAACGUUACUUUAGAAUAAAUAUAUCUAAUUAAUUGAAUAGUACUUAAAACGUCAUUUCAACUCUACACAUUUAUUUUUUAGGUGCAAAUCUUUCCCAAGAAUAUUCACAGAACAGAGAAUCAGGCGUAAAACCUAUCUACAUUUACACACUACUUUUUGACAGCAACAUCUUAAAUGUACUAUACUAUUCUGACAUUUUUAAGAGAACUUUUAAGAGAAAAUACUUGUGAGUAUCUGCAGUUCAAAUUUAUGCUAUUCUUUCUUUAUGGUAACUCACAAUAUUGUACACUAACUAUCAAAAGAAAGAAAUUUGUGAUUCCCCUGCAAUAUUUGCCUUUGGAUAAAAGAGGAAAAAAAAUCUAAUGCCUUCACAGACUGUAAUAAGUCUAAAAUUCACAAACUAAACCUCUAGUUCUAAUAACAUGGAAAACAUGCUUAACUCUGGUCACUCAAAUACUUCAGGGUAAGUCCACCUUCAUCUGUUGAAUACUCUUGCAUCCUCAGCACAGUAGCCAGGAAAAUUGACUGUGUGACAUAUCCAAGGUUUUUUUUUGUUUUGUUUUUACCAUGGAAGCCACUCUGUGUUCAUGUGCCUGCUUAUCCUACUGCUUGUUGUUGGUUUAGCCUGGCAGGCAGCUCAGCACUACACAGCCGCUCAUUCUGUUUCUGCCACACUCUUCCUCGCAGUGGGAUGAAUGAAAGAAGUGGAAAAAAGGGUAAAACUCGUGGGUUGAUAUAAUUGCAGUUUAUAAAACAGGAAAGGAAGGGAAAAUAAUGAUAUUGGUCUUAGAAGCCGCUAUUUCCCCUCUCCCUACCCCCCUUCUGGACAACUCCCCCAGUUUUAUUGUUCCAUAUAAUGCCAGAUGGCAUGGGAUAUCUCUUUGGCUAGUUUGGGUCUGUUGUCCUGAUUCUGUCCCUCCCCCCAGCUUCUUGUGCACCCUCAGCUCCUCACUGGCAGAGCAAUACAAGAAGCAGAAAAAACCUCAGUGCUGUGCAAGCAUUGCUAUGCAACAGAUAAAUAAUCGGUGUGCUGUCAACAUUAUUGUCAUCUGUCUCGAUCCAAUUUAUCGAAGAGAGAGGAGGUUCUUUGAUAUAUGUAUACCCAGCAUGAGAUUAAGAAACAACGGUUCAAAUGUUGGUCCGACCAGUUUAUUAUAAAUUCUAGUUGUUCAGGGAGAAGGGGAAGGGAGAAGGGCAAUAGAAAAGAUAGGAAAUGGAAGCAAGGAGUCUGUGUAGGAAGCAAGAGGGAGAUAGUCACCACCAUGGGUUCAAUGUGGUUCGUAGGUCAGUCCUCGAUCUUCAGUAGUGGUGGGUCAUCAGGCGUUGUUGUUCUGUUGACAAGUGUCCACGGCGACGGUGACGAUGGCGACGACAAUGACUGCAAUGGCA